UACGAAGGGGGCUAGCGUUACUCGGAAUUACUGGGCGUAAAGCGUGCGUAGGUGGUUUGUUAAGUCUGUUGUGAAAGCCCCGGGCUUAACCUGGGAAUGGCAUUUGAGACUGCAUAGCUAGGGUGCGGAAGAGGGAAGCGGAAUUUCCGGUGUAGCGGUGAAAUGCGUAGAUAUCGGAAGGAACACCAGUGGCGAAAGCGGCUUCCUGGUCCAGCACCGACGUCAGGCACGAAAGCGUGGGGAGCAAACAGGG
rnacentral:rRNA from 1 species